UCCAGACUCCUACGGGAGGCAGCAGUGAGGAAUAUUGGUCAAUGGGCGCGAGCCUGAACCAGCCAAGUCGCGUGAGGGAAGACGGUCCUAUGGAUUGUAAACCUCUUUUGUCGGGGAGCAAAGAGGCCUCGUGAGGUCAAAAGCGAGAGUACCCGAAGAAAAAGCAUCGGCUAACUCCGUGCCAGCAGCCGCGGUAAUACGGAGGAUGCGAGCGUUAUCCGGAUUUAUUGGGUUUAAAGGGUGCGCAGGCGGAAUGUCAAGUCAGCGGUAAAAUUUCGGGGCUCAACCCCGUCGUGCCGUUGAAACUGGCGUUCUUGAGUGAGCGAGAAGUAUGCGGAAUGCGUGGUGUAGCGGUGAAAUGCAUAGAUAUCACGCAGAACUCCGAUUGCGAAGGCAGCAUACCGGCGCUCAACUGACGCUCAUGCACGAAAGUGUGGGUAUCGAACAGGAUUAGAUACCCCAGUAGA
rnacentral:rRNA from 1 species